rnacentral:rRNA from 1 species
UACGUAGGGUGCAAGCGUUAAUCGGAAUUACUGGGCGUAAAGCAUGCGCAGGCGGUUAUACAAGACAGGCGUGAAAUCCCCGGGCUUAACCUGGGGAAUGGCGUUCUGUGACUGUAUAGCUAGAGUGUGGUCAGAGGGGGGUGGAAUUCCGCGUGUAGCAGUGAAAUGCGUAGAUAUGCGGAGGAACACCGAUGGCGAAGGCAAUCCCCUGGGAUAACACUGACGCUCAUGACACGAAAGGCGUGGGGAGCAAACAGG